GUAGGUUUUGAAUUGUAGGGUUUCUUUGGGUUUUCGUUUGAUUCUCUUCAAAUUUUGUAUCUUGGGUUUAAAUUGCUUCUGGGUUUAAGUAAUUUUAGCAUUUUGAAUUAGGGGAUUUGGUUUUCAGCUCCCUUCAAUUUUUUGCUUAGGUUAACUAUUCUUUUUUAUGGCAUUUGAAUGCCAAGGAAGCACUGAGGUGUCGAAAAAUUACAAUUUUGAGGAUAACUCGAAUCCAAAAGCUAAAAAUUCUGGAAUUGCUAACCACAUAUUAGAUUGUGAUUCCAAGAAGGCAAUUUCAAUAGCUGAUUGUCCAAAACAGCUGCCUUGUAAUGAGGUUUUGCCCAAUUGUCCCCGAUCGUCAAUCACCGAUCUUCCUCCAGCCUUGAUUUGUGAAAUCCUUAAUUUUCU
rnacentral:misc_RNA from 1 species